UACGGAGGAGGCAAGCGUUAUCCGGAAUUAUUGGGCGUAAAGCGUCCGCAGGUGGCACUUCAAGUCUGUCGUCAAAGACUGGGGCUUAACCCUGGAAAGGCGGUGGAAACUGAAGCGCUAGAGUGCGGUAGGGGUAGAGGGAAUUCCCGGUGUAGCGGUGAAAUGCGUAGAGAUCGGGAAGAACAUCGGUGGCGAAGGCGGCAUCCUGGACCGGCAUUGACGCUGAGGAGCGAAAGCUAGGGGAGCAAACGGG
rnacentral:rRNA from 1 species